rnacentral:rRNA from 1 species
GUUAGGAAUAUUGGACAAUGGGCGCAAGCCUGAUCCAGCCAUGCCGCGUGAGUGAUGAAGGCCUUCGGGUUGUAAAGCUCUUUAGCCGAUGAUUAUAAUGACUGUAGUCGGAAAAUAAGCCCCGGCUAACUUCGUGCCAGCAGCCGCGGUAAUACGAAGGGGGCGAGCGUUAUUCGGAAUCACUGGGCGUAAAGCGUGCGUAGGCGGCUUUGCAAGUUGGGAGUGAAAGCCCAGGGCUCAACCCUGGAAUUGCUCUCAAAACUGCAAGGCUCGAAUUCGGGAGAGGAUAGCGGAAUUGUCAGUGUAGCAGUGAAAUGCGUAGAUAUUGACAGGAACACCAGUGGCGUAAGCGGCUAUCUGGACCGAUAUUGACGCUGAGGCACGAAAGCGUGGGGAUCAAACAGGAUUAGAUACCCGAGUAC